rnacentral:rRNA from 1 species
CCCUUAGAUGUUCUGGGCCGCACGCGCGCCACACUGACGAAGUCAGCGAGCAUGUCCUACGCCGACAGGUGCGGGGAAUCUUGUCAAACUUCGUCGUGAUGGGGAUUGAUUAUUGAAAUUCUUGAUCAUCAACGAGGAAUUCCUAGUAAGCGCAAGUCAGCAGCUUGCGUUGAUUACGUCCCUGCCCUUUGUACACACCGCCCGUCGCUACUACCGAUUGAAUGGUUUAGUGAGAUCUUCGGAUUGGCGCCACUGCGGCUCAGCAAUGGGCUCGGUGGAUGCCGAAAAGUUGAUCAAACUUGAUCAUUUAGAGGAAGUAAAAGUCGUAACA